UACGUAGGGUGCGAGCGUUGUCCGGAAUUACUGGGCGUAAAGAGCUCGUAGGUGGUUUGUCGCGUUGUUCGUGAAAACUCACAGCUCAACUGUGGGCGUGCGGGCGAUACGGGCAGACUGGAGUACUGCAGGGGAGACUGGAAUUCCUGGUGUAGCGGUGGAAUGCGCAGAUAUCAGGAGGAACACCGGUGGCGAAGGCGGGUCUCUGGGCAGUAACUGACGCUGAGGCGCGAAAGCUAGGGGAGCAAACAGG
rnacentral:rRNA from 1 species